AAAUCGAUUAGCAAUCAGAAGAACGACGUGUCGUCGUGGUCAGAAGUUGAUCCAUUGAACGGUUUGUCGUUUGGGUUCAACCAGUUAAUAGUCCCUUCCCCAUCCCAGUCCCUGGAUUUCGAAGUCCCUGGCUGUAAAUGAAAAUCACAGCAUCCCAGCAUCCCUUGAUUCGUUACCUAACUACUAAGAUAUCAUUGCCUUAAAAUCCCUCUGUUCUUUUUCGCUCUUUUCUCUGCAAAAGAACUCAAACAGAUCAUAGAAAAGGAAAAUACAAGAGCAAAAUGGCGGGACGGUUUGGUUCUGCACCGUCGACGAUGAUCGUGACCAAUACUCCGGCGGCCGAUCUCGCCCUCACUAACCUUGCCUACUGCUCCGCGUCUGAUCUACACAACUUCGCUGUCCCUGGAACCAAGUUCUUCAUGGCGUUAAUCGGCGACUACUUUGUUCUAUCUCUUUCUCCUCACGAAAACAUUCGUCCGGGUCAUAUUGCCCUGAAUGCAAUUCAACGUCGGCAUGCAAGAGUUUCUACUGGAGACUCCAUUUCUGUGAGCAGGUUUAUCCCUCCUGAAGAUUUUAACCUUGCAUUGCUGACACUUGAGUUAGAAUUUGUGAAGAAGGGCACUAAGAGCGAACAGGUAGAUGCUGUUUUAGUGGCUAACCAACUCAGAAAGAGAUUUAUUAACCAGGUUAUGACAACUGGGCAAAGAGUAUCGUUUGAGUAUCAUGGGAACAAUUAUAUUUUUACAGUCAAUCAAGCUGUUGUAGAGGGCCGAGAGAAAUCUAAUGAUUUUGAAAGAGGGAUGAUUUCAAGUGACACCUACUUCGUCUUUGAAGCGUCAAAUUCAAGUGGCAUAAAGAUUGUUAAUCAACGUGAAGCGGCCAGUAGCAACAUCUUUAGGCAUAAGGAGUUUAAUCUUCAGUCACUGGGUAUAGGUGGCUUAAGUGCUGAGUUUGCAGAUAUAUUUCGAAGAGCUUUUGCCUCUCGAGUUUUUCCACCACAUGUGACAAGCAAAUUGGGGAUUAAACACGUAAAAGGAAUGCUGCUUUAUGGGCCUCCUGGUACUGGGAAAACUCUCAUGGCUCGUCAAAUUGGGAAAAUGUUGAACGGGAGAGAACCGAAGAUUGUUAAUGGUCCUGAAGUUCUGAGCAAAUUUGUUGGUGAAACUGAAAAGAAUGUUAGAGACCUGUUUGCUGAUGCUGAAAAUGAUCAGAGGACACGGGGGGACCAAAGUGAUUUGCAUGUAAUAAUAUUUGAUGAGAUUGAUGCUAUAUGUAAGUCAAGAGGAUCAACAAGAGAUGGCACAGGAGUUCAUGAUAGUAUUGUGAACCAGCUACUUACAAAGAUAGACGGUGUGGAGUCUCUAAAUAAUGUUUUACUCAUUGGAAUGACCAACAGAAAAGAUUUGCUUGAUGAAGCACUUUUGAGACCGGGACGCUUGGAGGUUCAAGUUGAAAUAAGCCUUCCUGAUGAAAAUGGUCGUUUGCAAAUUCUUCAAAUUCAUACAAACAAGAUGAAGGAGAAUUCUUUUCUAGCUCCCGAUGUGAACCUUCAAGAGCUUGCUGCUCGGACCAAAAAUUACAGUGGGGCAGAACUUGAAGGUGUUGUAAAAAGUGCAGUAUCAUUUGCGUUGAAUAGACAACUAAGUAUGGAUGAUCUAACCAAGCCAGUAGACGAAGAGAGUAUCAAAGUUACAAUGGAUGAUUUCCUGCAUGCACUCCAGGAAAUUAUUCCUGCAUUUGGGGCCUCCACUGAUGAUCUUGAGCGAUGCAGACUUAAUGGCAUGGUGGAAUGUGGCAAUCGACAUGACCAUAUUUAUCAGAGAGCUAGGCUCCUGGUGGAGCAAGUUAAAGUUAGUAAAGGAAGUCCACUCGUCACUUGUCUUCUGGAAGGCCCAAGUGGCAGUGGUAAAACUGCUUUGGCAGCUACUGUUGGCAUUGACAGUGAUUUUCCAUAUGUCAAGAUAGUCUCAGCUGAAUCAAUGAUUGGCCUUCAUGAGAGCACUAAAUGUGCACAGAUUGUUAAGGUGUUUGAGGAUGCAUACAAGUCACCACUAAGCAUUAUAAUUCUGGAUGACAUUGAGAGACUGCUGGAGUAUGUUGCUAUUGGGCCACGUUUUUCAAAUUUGAUUUCUCAGACAUUGUUGGUUCUCCUUAAACGUCUUCCUCCAAAGGUUACUUUGUCUCUUGCUUUUUUUUGCUACAACUUGGAGAAUGGGAAAGAAACUUAUGGUGAUAGGGACAACAAGUGAAGUUAGCUUUUUGGAUUCAAUUGGCAUUUGUGAUGCUUUCUCUGUCACUUACCAUGUUCCCACAUUGAAGGCAGAAGAUGCAAAGAAGGUAUUGCGGCAACUUAAUGUUUUUCAUGAAGAUGAUGUUGAUGCAGCUGCUGAAGCACUUAAUGACAUGCCGAUCAAGAAGCUAUAUAUGUUGAUUGAGAUGGCAGCCCAAGGUGAGCAAGGAGGAGCUGCAGAAGCAAUCUACUCUGGCAAACAAAAGAUCAAGAUUGCUCAUUUUUACGAUUGCCUUCAAGAUGUUGUGCGAUACUAAAUUAAUUCACCUUUCCUAUUGCCUUACCUGCUGCAGCCUUCCCUCCUCUCUCUCUCCCUCUUUCUUUUUUUCUUUUCUUUUCUUUUCUUUUUUUUCUUGUGCGGGAUUUUUUUUCAUAUUCCCCAAUUUGCAUAUGUUAUUACCCAUGUUUUGAGGCAUUAAAGUUUGAAUUAGGCUUGUGAAGUUUCAUGGGUAUUUGAAAGUAGAGAAGAAUUUGAAAUAUUUGGUUAAAUUUAACCUCUACUUGGAAUUUUUGCAAGAAUUUAGUUUCAUUGA